GACAGAGGGUGCAAACGUUGUUCGGAUUUACUGGGCGUAAAGCGCGUGUAGGCGGCUUGGCAAGUCGGAUGUGAAAGCCCACGGCUCAACCGUGGAAGCGCAUCCGAAACUGCUUCGCUCGAGUCUCGGAGAGGAAGGUGGAAUGCCUGGUGUAGAGGUGAAAUUCGUAGAUAUCAAGCAGAACACCUGCGGCGAAGGCGGCCUUCUGGACGAUGACUGACGCUGAGACGCGAAAGCGUGGGGAGCAAACAGG
rnacentral:rRNA from 1 species